AUGUUGCAGGCAGGUGCCAAAUGCAGAGUGACCAGAGGGCGAUCCGGCCUACCGUGGCAAUCUGAAAUGGCUAGUAUAACUAUUUCAGUUAGCAUUCUGAAAAUUGUGUGGAAAGACACGACAAUCUUCUCUAUGACUCUCAUACAAGCUAAGCUUCACAACAAUUUCUCCAACAGUAUAGUAUGUGUCACCUCAGCAGCUUGGAUAUCAAAUGAGGAAAGAAAGGAAACAUCAGGCAAUCAAAACAAAAGAAUUACACCUCUGCAGCUUCAGAAUUUAUUAGUAUCAAUUAAAGAAAGACACUAA
rnacentral:rRNA from 1 species